GUCAGCCAGGGCUGCAGUCAUCUGAAGGCUUGACUGGGGCUGAGAGAGGAGGAUCUACUCUCAAGGUGGAUCACUCACUGGCAGGUGAAGACACAACAGUAAGACAGCCAUCUGCAAGCCAGGAAGACAGCCCUCACAAGGAAUCAAAUCAGCCAGAACCUUGAUCUUGGACUUCCCAGCCUCCAGAACUGUGAAAAAUAAAAUAAAUUUUGUUGUUUAAGCUA